UUCCUGCACAGGAUGUUGGGCUCUAAUUGCACCCUCCAUCCCAAUUUCCUCUUAUCUUCUUCAACAAAUUCCCUUCCCUCUGUCAAUUUCCAUUCUCUCUAAUUUUCAAUUCUCUACAUCUCUCCCACCCUCAAAAAACCUACACUUGAUUCUACCACCCAAUUUCAUUAUCAUUCUAUAUAUAUCCUCUCCUUCCUUUCUCUUCAAAAGUCCUGGGGGGAAAUCAUUUCUAUUCAGUGCCUCCUCUUACUCUUUUUUCUUAUGCCCUCUCCCCCAAAUCCUCUUUGAUUCCUAAUUGCCUUAUUACCAUCUAGGGCACAGCACCCUCUCAUUUACUCAGUUUUAAACCUUGGUAUCCUCUUUAACUCCUCCUUUAUUCCAUAUAUCCAUUCCAUCACUAAAUCCAUAAUUUGGACCCACUUGCCUACUUUGUUGUUAUUUGUAGUUCAGACUCUCUUGCCUACUUUGUUCUUCAGUCAUUUCAGUCCUGACCCAGUUUGGGGCUUUCUUGGCAAAGAUACUGGAGUGGUUUUCCAUUUCCUUUUCCAGCUCAUUUACAGAUGAGGAAGCUGAGGCAAACUGGAUUAAGUGACUUGUCCAGGGUCACACAGCCAGUAAACUAUCCUGUGCUACCUAGCUGCACAUCUCUUGCCUGUACUAUUACAAUAAUAGCCUUUUAAUUGAUAACCCAGUUUAAAGCCUCUCCCCUAUCCAACCUAUCCUCCACUCUUCAAGAAAAAGAGAUUUUUACUAAAGUUUAGGUCUGACUAUAUCACCCUUCUCCCCAACAAACUGAAGUAGCUCCCUAUUACCUCCAAGAUCAAAUAUAAAACCCUCUGUUUAGCAUUCAAGGCUCUUCACAACCUGGCCCCUUCUCAUCUUUCCAGUUUUCUCAUACUUGAUUCUCUUCCAUGUACUCAACAAUCAAGUGAUAAUGGCUUACUGUUCCUCAAACACUCCAUCAAAACAUUCCAUCCCCAAGCUUUACAUGAUUGCCUAUCAUACCUGCCAUGCUCUCUCCCUUUACCAAAACCGUUGUCUACUUGGUUUCUCUUAAAGCUUGGGACUCCUUUGGUGCGAUUACAACGGCCUUCUGCUAAGGAAGAUUUGAGCAGAGGGGAGAGGACUAAAGCUAAGAAAUGCCUCUCAGAAGUGACCCUCUUAGACCUUUGGAAGCCAUAAUUAUGGGAAGUCCCCAUAGGCAUUGGCAACAGUGAGCCAGAGGACGAGGGACAAAAAGGCCUUGAUCAAAAUGGAUAAUGCACACAUCCUAAAGAAAGUUAACUCUCUAACUUUAUACCAUAGGACAGAGGUUCUUAGCUCUUUUUUUGUAUCACGGACCACUUAGGUACUCUGGUGAAGCCUAAGAAGAGUGUUUUUUUAAAUACAUCAAACAAAAUAAAGGAAUUACAAAGGGAACGAAUUCA
rnacentral:lncRNA from 1 species